GAUGAACGCUGGCGGCGUGCUUAACACAUGCAAGUCGAACGAAGCACUUUAACCUGAUUCUUCGGAUGAAGGUUUUUGUGACUGAGUGGCGGACGGGUGAGUAACGCGUGGGUAACCUGCCUCAUACAGGGGGAUAACAGUUAGAAAUGACUGCUAAUACCGCAUAAGACCACGGAGCCGCAUGGCUCAGUGGGAAAAACUCCGGUGGUAUGAGAUGGACCCGCGUCUGAUUAGGUAGUUGGUGGGGUAACGGCCUACCAAGCCAACGAUCAGUAGCCGACCUGAGAGGGUGACCGGCCACAUUGGGACUGAGACACGGCCCAAACUCCUACGGGAGGCAGCAGUGGGGAAUAUUGCACAAUGGGGGAAACCCUGAUGCAGCGACGCCGCGUGAGCGAAGAAGUAUUUCGGUAUGUAAAGCUCUAUCAGCAGGGAAGAAAAUGACGGUACCUGACUAAGAAGCACCGGCUAAAUACGUGCCAGCAGCCGCGGUAAUACGUAUGGUGCAAGCGUUAUCCGGAUUUACUGGGUGUAAAGGGAGCGUAGACGGCUGUGUAAGUCUGAAGUGAAAGCCCGGGGCUCAACCCCGGGACUGCUUUGGAAACUAUGCAGCUAGAGUGUCGGAGAGGUAAGUGGAAUUCCCAGUGUAGCGGUGAAAUGCGUAGAUAUUGGGAGGAACACCAGUGGCGAAGGCGGCUUACUGGACGAUGACUGACGUUGAGGCUCGAAAGCGUGGGGAGCAAACAGGAUUAGAUACCCUGGUAGUCCACGCCGUAAACGAUGACUACUAGGUGUGGAGGAGCAAAGCUCUUCGGUGGCGCAGCAAACGCAAUAAGUAGUCCACCCGGGGAGUGCGUUCGCAAGAAUGAAACUCAAAGGAAUUGACGGGGGCCCGCACAAGUGGUGGAGCAUGUGGUUUAAUUUGAAGCAACGCGAAGAACCUUACCUGCUCUUGACAUCCCGGUGGCCGGCAUGUAAUGAUGCCUUUUCUUCGGAACACCGGUGACAGGUGGUGCAUGGUUGUCGUCAGCUCGUGUCGUGAGAUGUUGGGUGAAGUCCCGCAACGAGCGCAACCCUUAUCUUCAGUAGCCAGCAUUUUGGAUGGGCACUCUGGAGAGACUGCCAGGGAUAACCUGGAGGAAGGGGGGGGGGACGUCAAAUCAUCAUGCCCCUUAUGAGCAGGGCGACACACGUGCUACAAUGGCGUGAACAAAGGGAAGGGGGGGUGCGAGGGGGAGCAAAUCUCAAAAAUAACGUCUCAGUUCGGAGUGUAGUCUGCAACUCGACUACGGGGGGGGGG
rnacentral:rRNA from 1 species